rnacentral:rRNA from 1 species
UACGUAGGGCGCAAGCGUUGUCCGGAAUUAUUGGGCGUAAAGAGCUCGUAGGCGGUCUGUCGCGUCGGCUGUGAAAACUCGGGGCUCAACCCCGAGCCUGCAGUCGAUACGGGCAGACUAGAGUGCGGUAGGGGAGACUGGAAUUCCUGGUGUAGCGGUGAAAUUCGUAGAUAUUCGGAGGAACACCAGUGGCGAAGGCGGCUCACUGGUCCAUUACUGACGCUGAGGUGCGAAAGCGUGGGAGCAAACAGG